GAUGGAGUCGCAAGAGUGGUUUAGUGACUAAACUACCACCACCACUCCUUGGGGACAAUUUCGUUAAAAAUUCAGCCCACACAGGGGUGGAGAAUCAACAUGGGAAGCUGGGAUUGGGGAGCUUACUCACCCAAUGGGCAGGGGCUCAGUGGCAGUCUGACCCACGUUUCGGCUGUGCUGGGUCUUCGUUGCUGUGUGGCCUUUCUCUAGUUGUGGCGAGCUGGGGCUGCUCUAGUUGCUGUGUUCGGACUUCUCCUUAUGGCAGCUUCUCUUGUUACAGGGCACAGGCUCAGUCGUCGUGGCUCACAGGCUUAGCUGCUCCUUGGCAUGUGAGAUCUUCCAAGAUCAGGAAUCGAACUCGAGUCUCCUGCAUCGGCAGGCAGAUUCUUAUCCACUGUACCACCAGGGAAGCCCAGUCUGACCCAUUUUGUGCAUCCUCCCAGAACUGCACCCUCAGCUCAGAGGAGACUCCGCCUGACCAUCUGAAGUUCAUGGUCCAGAGGAAUCUUCCCGACCCAGGGACUGAACCUCUGUCUCCUGCAUUGUAGACAGAUUCUAUACUGUCUGAGCCACCAGGGAAGCCCAAAUAUAAUGUAAGUGCUAAGUGAAUAGUUGAAGCUGAGUGGAAAAUUCAAGUUUUGGUUUUUGGAAUUUCAUGGAAUUUAGGGCAGGGUGCAC
ensembl:lncRNA